rnacentral:lncRNA from 1 species
AUGGAUGGAGCUGUCGGAAAUUUGCACGAGAAUGAGCGUAGUUGCAGAGCUUCUCUGUGACGGAAGGAGGAAUAUGACAGAAAGAGAAAUGAUGCUCCAUGAAAGCAGUCAUGGGUGGAGUAUGCUUCUUUAGCAAAAACAGUUGCAGGUGGAUCGCAUAAGGGAAUGCAAAAGAAUGAUGGCUUGUAUAAACUUGAGCAUAGCUUGUGCUCCAAAAUUUCUUCACUAAACUUUUCUCUAAUAUUAUCUAACUCAGGGAGUAUAAAAGAGAAUUGCCCAGGAUGGUGGUUUGAUCUGAUGGUGGGAAUGCAAGGGAUGUUUUAGUAUUAAUUGGACAUAUGGGGUUUUUGUUAGAUGAUUUCCUCUUGGAGAU